ACAAAAGAGGGCUGCUACCAAGUAGUAAAAACAUUUUCUGAGUGUUUUGGCUUAUAACACUACUCAGCAAAGUAGAAGAAAUUAAUAGCACUGUCACAUUUAUAAUAUGGCAAGAAUCAUGCUUCUGUCAUUUAAUUCUCAGUUGUGUCACACUGGCCUCAUCAUUCUCAUAUGAACUGGAUGUGAUUUACCUCACCCUGGGAAUCAUCCAGAGAAGCAGAAUGACCAGAAGUAAUGGAACCAGGAGUUGAAUCCAGCUCGAUGGUUCUGUGGUUGAUCCUGGUGCUGGCUGAUCUUUGUGAGUGUUCGCUUACUCUUCCCAGGGAAGAAAGUGAGAUCCCAGAUGCCACCAACAAAGAGAGAAGUGAAAACAGAGUGACAUAAUGGCACUGGCACUUAUAUUUGGAUUUGGCCCCAGUCCACUAUAAAGGUGGCGGGAUGCAAUAGCUGGUGCCGAAACCCGGGAUGAAAACCUGGCGUCCAAGGACGGAGUGGAACUUCUCACCCUGCGGCGAUCCGAGUGGACACCCUUUGGAAGAGUUACACGAGUGACUGACAUUUUGGAGAGUGGUGAGUAUGGUCAGGGACAAAGUGAAAGCAACAUCAGGUCGUGUGAAUGCAAGCAAUUGUGGUGUGUGUGUUUAGCCUUUGUGUUCCUUGUCUUGUUCUGUCUUAGUCUGUAUAU